CUACGUGCCAGCAGCCGCGGUAAUACGUAGGUGGCAAGCGUUGUCCGGAUUUAUUGGGCGUAAAGCGAGCGCAGGCGGUUCCUUAAGUCUGAUGUGAAAGCCCCCGGCUCAACCGGGGAGGGUCAUUGGAAACUGGGGAACUUGAGUGCAGAAGAGGAGAGUGGAAUUCCAUGUGUAGCGGUGAAAUGCGUAGAUAUAUGGAGGAACACCAGUGGCGAAGGCGACUCUCUGGUCUGUAACUGACGCUGAGGCUCGAAAGCGUGGGUAGCAAACAGGAUUAGAUACCCUGGUAGUCCACSCCGUAAACGAUGAGUGCUAGGUGUUAGACCCUUUCCGGGGUUUAGUGCCGCAGCUAACGCAUUAAGCACUCCGCCUGGGGAGUACGACCGCAAGGUUGAAACUCAAAGGAAUUGACGGGGGCCCGCACAAGCGGUGGAGCAUGUGGUUUAAUUCGAAGCAACGCGAAGAACCUUACCUGG
rnacentral:rRNA from 1 species